UACAGAGGUCUCAAGCGUUGUUCGGAUUCAUUGGGCGUAAAGGGUGCGUAGGCGGCGCGGUAAGUCGGGUGUGAAAUCUCGGGGCUUAACUCCGAAACUGCAUUCGAUACUGCCGUGCUUGAGGACUGGAGAGGAGACUGGAAUUUACGGUGUAGCGGUGAAAUGCGUAGAUAUCAGGAGGAACACCAGCGGUGUAGACGGCUUUCUGGACCAUUGCUGACGCUGAGACACGAAAGCGUGGGUAGCAAACAGG
rnacentral:rRNA from 1 species